rnacentral:tRNA from 1 species
UGAGUUUUAAGUUAUACAAACUAGAGGCCUUCCAAGCUUAAAAAAUAUUUUAAACUCAA